rnacentral:misc_RNA from 1 species
AGAGGUAAAAGGUGAGAUAGCGCCGCUGGCCGAAUACCCGCUCGAUGUCGGAACCGAACAUGUAUAACGCGAGCAUGUUGAAAAAGAGAUGCAGCAAGCUGCCGUGCAGGAAGCUGUACGUAACGAGCUGCCACGGCGCGAAGCCCGGCCCGAUCGGCCAUAACGCGAACAGCUCGAUGAGCGCAUUUCCCGCUAUCAACUCCAGCACGAAGAUGACGACGUUGGAGAUGAUCAGGAUCCGCGUCAGCGGCGGCAAAGAGG